GUAUGAAUAAAAGAUUGUAUAGUCAAGGAAUCAGUUAAGGUAUGAAUAAAAGAUUGUAUAGUCAGGAAUCAGUUAAGAUAUGAUUAAAAGAUUGUAUAGUCAAGGAAUCAGUUGAGAUAUGAAUAACAGAUUGUAUAGUCAAGGAAUCAGUUGAGGUAUGAAUAAAAGAUUGUAUAGUCAAUGAAUCAGUCAAGGUAUGAAUAAAAGAUUGUAUAGUCAAGGAAUCAGUUAAGGUAUGAAUAAAAGAUUGUAUAGUCAAGGAAUCAGUUAAGGUAUGAAUAAAAGAUUGUAUAGUCAAGGAAUCAGUUAAGAUAUGAAUAAAAGAUUGUAUAGUCAAGGAAUCAGUUAAAAUAUGAAUAAAAGAUUGUAUAGUCAAGGAAUCAGUUGAGAUAUGAAUAAAAGAUUGUAUAGUCAAGGAAUCUGUUAAGAUAUGAAUAAAAGAUUGUAUAGUCAAGGAAUCAGUUAAGAUAUGAAUAACAGAUUGUAUAGUCAAGGAAUCAGUUAAGGUAUGAAUAAAAGUUUGUAUAGUCAGGAAUCAGUUAAGAUAUGAAUAAAAGAUUGUAUAGUCAAGGAAUCAGUUAAGAUAUGAAUAACAGAUUGUAUAGUCAAGGAAUCAGUUGAGAUAUGAAUAAAAGAUUGUAUAGUCAAGGAAUCAGUUAAGAUACAAUCAGGU